rnacentral:rRNA from 1 species
UACGUAGGGUCCGAGCGUUGUCCGGAAUUACUGGGCGUAAAGAGCUCGUAGGUGGUUUGUCGCGUUGUCCGUGAAAACUCACAGCUCAACUGUGGGCGUGCGGGCGAUACGGGCAGACUGGAGUACUGCAGGGGAGACUGGAAUUCCUGGUGUAGCGGUGGAAUGCGCAGAUAUCAGGAGGAACACCGGUGGCGAAGGCGGGUCUCUGGCUCGUAUCUGACGCUCAGGCGCGAUAGCGUGGGGAUCAAACAGG